rnacentral:rRNA from 1 species
GCACAGGUGUGCGUCACUGCGUAUGCAAUCUACCUUAAUCAAGGGGGAUAAGCCCGGAGUAAAUCCGGAUUAAUACCGCAUAACAUAAUUCGAAUGGCAUCAUUUAAUUAUCAAACAUUUAUGGGAUUAAGAUGAGCAUGCGUGCACAUUAUGUUACGUUCGGUGAGUGUAACGGCUCACCAAGACUACGAUGUCUAGGGGAUCUGAAGAGGAUGACCCCCCACACUGGUACUGAGACACGGAACCAAACUCAUACGGGAGGCAGAGUAAGGAAUAUUGGUCAAUGGGCGCAAGCCCUUGGAAACCAGCAAUUGGCCGGCGGUGGCGGAAAGAACGGGCCCCUACGGGUUUGUAAACUGCUUUUAUCCGGGAAUAAACCCUUCUACGUGUAGGAGGCUGAAUGUACCGAAGGAAUAAGGAUCGGCUAACUCCGUGCCAGCAGCCGCGG